CGGGACACGUGGUAUCCUGUCUGAAUAUGGGGGGACCAUCCUCCAAGGCUAAAUACUCCUGACUGACCGAUAGUGAACCAGUACCGUGAGGGAAAGGCGAAAAGAACCCCGGCGAGGGGAGUGAAAAAGAACCUGAAACCGUGUACGUACAAGCAGUGGGAGCACGCUUAGGCGUGUGACUGCGUACCUUUUGUAUAAUGGGUCAGCGACUUAUAUUCUGUAGCAAGGUUAACCGAAUAGGGGAGCCGAAGGGAAACCGAGUCUUAACUGGGCGUUAAGUUGCAGGGUAUAGACCCGAAACCCGGUGAUCUAGCCAUGGGCAGGUUGAAGGUUGGGUAACACUAACUGGAGGACCGAACCGACUAAUGUUGAAAAAUUAGCGGAUGACUUGUGGCUGGGGGUGAAAGGCCAAUCAAACCGGGAGAUAGCUGGUUCUCCCCGAAAGCUAUUUAGGUAGCGCCUCGUGAAUUCAUCUCCGGGGGUAGAGCACUGUUUCGGCAAGGGGGUCAUCCCGACUUACCAACCCGAUGCAAACUGCGAAUACCGGAGAAUGUUAUCACGGGAGACACACGGCGGGUGCUAACGUCCGUCGUGAAGAGGGAAACAACCCAGACCGCCAGCUAAGGUCCCAAAGUCAUGGUUAAGUGGGAAACGAUGUGGGAAGGCCCAGACAGCCAGGAUGUUGGCUUAGAAGCAGCCAUCAUUUAAAGAAAGCGUAAUAGCUCACUGGUCGAGUCGGCCUGCGCGGAAGAUGUAACGGGGCUAAACCAUGCACCGAAGCUGCGGCAGCGACGCUGAUGCGUUGUUGGGUAGGGGAGCGUUCUGUAAGCCUGUGAAGGUGUGCUGUGAGGCAUGCUGGAGGUAUCAGAAGUGCGAAUGCUGACAUAAGUAACGAUAAAGCGGGUGAAAAGCCCGCUCGCCGGAAGACCAAGGGUUCCUGUCCAACGUUAAUCGGGGCAGGGUGAGUCGACCCCUAAGGCGAGGCCGAAAGGCGUAGUCGAUGGGAAACAGGUUAAUAUUCCUGUACUUGGUGUUACUGCGAAGGGGGGACGGAGAAGGCUAUGUUGGCCGGGCGACGGUUGUCCCGGUUUAAGCGUGUAGGCUGGUUUUCCAGGCAAAUCCGGAAAAUCAAGGCUGAGGCGUGAUGACGAGGCACUACGGUGCUGAAGCAACAAAUGCCCUGCUUCCAGGAAAAGCCUCUAAGCAUCAGGUAACAUCAAAUCGUACCCCAAACCGACACAGGUGGUCAGGUAGAGAAUACCAAGGCGCUUGAGAGAACUCGGGUGAAGGAACUAGGCAAAAUGGUGCCGUAACUUCGGGAGAAGGCACGCUGAUAUGUAGGUGAAGCGACUUGCUCGUGGAGCUGAAAUCAGUCGAAGAUACCAGCUGGCUGCAACUGUUUAUUAAAAACACAGCACUGUGCAAACACGAAAGUGGACGUAUACGGUGUGACGCCUGCCCGGUGCCGGAAGGUUAAUUGAUGGGGUCAGCGCAAGCGAAGCUCUUGAUCGAAGCCCCGGUAAACGGCGGCCGUAACUAUAACGGUCCUAAGGUAGCGAAAUUCCUUGUCGGGUAAGUUCCGACCUGCACGAAUGGCGUAAUGAUGGCCAGGCUGUCUCCACCCGAGACUCAGUGAAAUUGAACUCGCUGUGAAGAUGCAGUGUACCCGCGGCAAGACGGAAAGACCCCGUGAACCUUUACUAUAGCUUGACACUGAACAUUGAGCCUUGAUGUGUAGGAUAGGUGGGAGGCUUUGAAGUGUGGACGCCAGUCUGCAUGGAGCCGACCUUGAAAUACCACCCUUUAAUGUUUGAUGUUCUAACGUUGACCCGUAAUCCGGGUUGCGGACAGUGUCUGGUGGGUAGUUUGACUGGGGCGGUCUCCUCCUAAAGAGUAACGGAGGAGCACGAAGGUUGGCUAAUCCUGGUCGGACAUCAGGAGGUUAGUGCAAUGGCAUAAGCCAGCUUGACUGCGAGCGUGACGGCGCGAGCAGGUGCGAAAGCAGGUCAUAGUGAUCCGGUGGU
rnacentral:rRNA from 1 species